ensembl:snoRNA
ACUGCCCCUCGAGGUGUUGCAGGUGUGGCUGCUGUGUCACAUCUGCGUCACUAGGUGGCAGAGAGAAUCAAGGCUAUGUCUACGCUCAGUGUUCGACCCGUGAAUGCCUGAAUGAUUAGUAGCCUGACACAG